AUGCACGCUGGCGGCGUGCCUAAUACCUGCAAGUCGAGCGAACGGACGAGAAGCUUGCUUUUCUGAUGUUAGCGGCGGACGGGUGAGUAACACGUGGAUAACCUACCUAUAAGACUGGGAUAACUUCGGGAAACCGGAGCUAAUACCGGAUAAUAUUUUGAACCGCAUGGUUCAAAAGUGAAAGACGGUCUUGCUGUCACUUAUAGAUGGAUCCGCGCUGCAUUAGCUAGUUGGUAAGGUAACGCCUUACCAAGGCAACGAUGCAUAGCCGACCUGAGAGGGUGAUCGGCCACACUGGAACUGAGACACGGUCCAGACUCCUACGGGAGGCAGCAGUAGGGAAUCUUCCGCAAUGGGCGAAAGCCUGACGGAGCAACGCCGCGUGAGUGAUGAAGGUCUUCGGAUCGUAAAACUCUGUUAUUAGGGAAGAACAUAUGUGUAAGUAACUGUGCACAUCUUGACGGUACCUAAUCAGAAAGCCACGGCUAACUACGU
rnacentral:rRNA from 1 species